UUCUUAUGACCAGCACGGAGGGGCAAAUCUCCUGGCUCAAGGAAGUUCCCUCCCUGGAGCUCUGAGAUCUUGCUGUCAGCAGGAAGCACCACCUUCCCAAGGCUCCACGGGAGCCUGAAAGCAGCUGCAGCAGCAGGGACAAACUGAGAGAGAAGGACCAAGGUCCAAGCCACACAUCCCGGCCCCCAGAAGCCAGCUUUGGGUCCUGUGCUACGUUUUCCCCAGCCUCAUGGCUCCAGAAUGCUGCAGGGAGACUGCCAGGGCCAGGUGGGCCAGGACACGGCAGGCAGCAGCCUUUCCAGAGUUUGGAUUUUUCUGUCCACAACUCUGGCACCCAGCAUGGGGCUCAGAGAAGACUCAGGACUCCCCGAAGGAGACGCCUGAACCUGGAGCUAAGGUACCAGCACGAGCCCUACAACUUUGAGCUCCAGCGGGAACCUGCCUUUCCACAGCGAGCUCCUGGGGGCUGAAGACUCCAGGGAUCAUGGAUUACAGCCAGGUGACUUUGUUUAUUGGAAAAGGCACCAACUAAAAGACUCCUUACAACCUCGCUGGAAAGGACCUUACCAGGUACUCUUAACUAACUCUUGUGCUGCAAAAUUAAAGGGGGUCGCCUCUUGGAUUCAUGUCUCACAUCUAAAACGAGUGCCUGACCACGCUCCCGACCACACCUGGACUUCCAAAUUAAUCUCUGACACCCGCCUACGACUUCAGAAAACAUCUGGCCAAACUGGCCUCCAAAGCAACAUCCAAAGUAACAACCAAAGCGGACAGUCUUCCUGAGACAUCGGACCAGGACAGUCCUCAUGAACCCUAAAAUAACUUUCAUUCUUACUUUACUUGCUAUAGAAUAUAUUGCUGCAAAUCCUGAAUGCCUUAACCAAGUCCCCCAAGAGGUUGUGUGGGAUCUGUGGA